AACGAACGCUGGCGGCAUGCCUAACACAUGCAAGUCGAACGAGACCUUCGGGUCUAGUGGCGCACGGGUGCGUAACGCGUGGGAACCUGCCUUUAGGUUCGGAAUAACUCAGAGAAAUUUGAGCUAAUACCGGAUAAUGUCUUCGGACCAAAGAUUUAUCGCCUUUAGAUGGGCCCGCGUAAGAUUAGCUAGUUGGUGGGGUAAAGGCCUACCAAGGCGACGAUCUUUAGCUGGUCUGAGAGGAUGAUCAGCCACACUGGGACUGAGACACGGCCCAGACUCCUACGGGAGGCAGCAGUGGGGGAAUAUUGGACAAUGGGCGAAAGCCUGAUCCAGCAAUGCCGCGUGAGUGAUGAAGGCCUUAGGGUUGUAAAGCUCUUUUACCGAGAUGAUAAUGACAGUAUCGGGAGAAUAAGACUCCGGCUAACUCCGUGCCAGCAGCCGCGGUAAU
rnacentral:rRNA from 1 species